rnacentral:rRNA from 1 species
CUGCUGCCUCCCGUAGGAGUUUGGACCGUGUCUCAGUUCCAAUGUGGGGGACCUUCCUCUCAGAACCCCUACGCAUCGUCGGCUUGGUGGGCCGUUGCCCCACCAACUACCUAAUGCGCCGCAUGCCCAUCCGUGACCGGGGUCGCCCCCUUUGGCCGGCAGGGGAUGUCCCCUCCCGGCAUUAUGUUGUAUUAGGCGGGAUUUCUCCCGGUUAUCCAUCUGUCACGGCCAGGUUGCAUACGUGUUACUCACCCGUGCGCCAGUCGCCGGCGG